rnacentral:rRNA from 1 species
UGGGGAAUAUUGCACAAUGGGCGGAAGCCUGAUGCAGCAACGCCGCGUGCGGGAUGACGGCCUUCGGGUUGUAAACCGCUUUCGCCUGUGACGAAGCGUGAGUGACGGUAAUGGGUAAAGAAGCACCGGCUAACUACGUGCCAGCAGCCGCGGUGAUACGUAGGGUGCGAGCGUUGUCCGGAUUUAUUGGGCGUAAAGGGCUCGUAGGUGGUUGAUCGCGUCGGAAGUGUAAUCUUGGGGCUUAACCCUGAGCGUGCUUUCGAUACGGGUUGACUUGAGGAAGGUAGGGGAGAAUGGAAUUCCUGGUGGAGCGGUGGAAUGCGCAGAUAUCAGGAGGAACACCAGUGGCGAAGGCGGUUCUCUGGGCCUUUCCUGACGCUGAGGAGCGAAAGCGUAGGGAGCGAACA